rnacentral:rRNA from 1 species
AGAGUUUGAUCCUGGCUCAGAUUGAACGCUGGCGGUAUGCUUAACACAUGCAAGUCGAACGGUAACAGCGGAGCUUGCUCCGGCUGACGAGUGGCGGACGGGUGAGUAACGCGUAGGAAUCUGCCUGAUAGUGGGGGACAACCUGGUGAAAACCAGGCUAAUACCGCAUACGCCCUACGGGGGAAAGCGGGGGAUCUUCGGACCUCGCGCUAUCAGAUGAGCCUGCGUCGGAUUAGCUAGUUGGUAAGGUAACGGCUUACCAAGGCGACGAUCCGUAGCUGGUUUGAGAGAACGACCAGCCACAUUGGGACUGAGACACGGCCCAGACUCCUACGGGAGGCAGCAGUGGGGAAUAUUGGUCAAUGGGCGCAAGCCUGAACCAGCCAUGUCGCGUGCAGGAUGACGGCCCUAUGGGUUGUAAACUGCUUUUUUACAGGAAUAAUUGUCGCUACGUGUAGUGAUUUGAAUGUACUGUAUGAAUAAGAUCGCUAACU